GCUGCUGGCUCUUAGAGCAUGUGCACACUCACUCCGUUUUUAACCACCUGUGCACAUACUGUAGGCCUGAAUGGAACUGCUCGAGGAAACUCGGUUUGAGGACUGCUGUGAAAAUCAGCUGUUCUUGCAUUCCAGGUCUAUGUUUUCAACAUAUACUCCAUAACAAGUUAUAGAAUGUUAAUCAUGGGCCUUCUGUGCCUUUAAAAUAUAAUACAACUUUCAACAACGGAUCUCUUGGCUCUCGCAUCGAUGAAGAACGCAGCGAAAUGCGAUAAGUAAUGUGAAUUGCAGAAUUCAGUGAAUCAUCGAAUCUUUGAACGCACCUUGCGCUCCUUGGUAUUCCGAGGAGCAUGCCUGUUUGAGUGUCAUGAAAUUCUCAACCUCUCUGGCUUUUAUCAGCUAAGUNAGGCUUGGAUUGUGGAAGUUGCUGGCUUCUUGGAGAUCAGCUCUUCUUAAAUGUAUUAGCAAAAUUCUUGCUGACCAUCUUUGGUAUGAUAAUUAUCUAUAUCAUUGAGAGUCAGUGGUUCAGGCUCCGCUUGNGAUAUAUCAUAUAUCCAAAGUGUUCGCUCAACCUCUUU
rnacentral:rRNA from 1 species